rnacentral:rRNA from 1 species
GUUGGGGAGUCGAAUUUAGCCAUGCUAGUUGUACGAGUUGAGACUCGUAGCAGAUAGCUCAGUAACACGUGGCCAAACUACCCUAUCGAGCACGAUACUCUCGGGAAACUGAGGCUAAUAGUGCAUACGACUCGGUGUCUGGAGUGACGCGAGUCAGAAACGCUCAGGCGCGAUAGGAUGUGGCUGCGGCCGAUUAGGUAGACGGUGGGGUAACGGCCCACCGUGCCAAUAAUCGGUACGGGUUGUGAGAGCAAGAGCCCGGAGACGGUAUCUGAGACAAGAUACCGGGCCCUACGGGGCGCAGCAGGCGCGAAACCUUUACACUGCACGCGAGUGCGAUAAGGGGACUCCAAGUGCGAGGGCAUAUAGUCCUCGCUUUUUCCGACCGUAGGAUGGUCGGCGAAUAAGUGCUGGGCAAGACCGGUGCCAGCCGCCGCGGUAAUACCGGCAGCACGAGUGAUGACCGCUAUUAUUGGGCCUAAAGCGUCCGUAGCUGGCCACGCAAGUCCAUCGGGAAAUCUCUCCGCUCAACGGAGAGGCGUCCGGUGGAAACUGUGUGGCUUGGGACCGGAAGAUCCAGAGGGUACGUCUGGGGUAGGAGUGAAAUCCCGUAAUCCGAGACGGACCACCGGUGGCGAAAGCGCUCUGGAAAGACGGAUC